rnacentral:rRNA from 1 species
UACGAAGGGGGCUAGCGUUGCUCGGAAUCACUGGGCGUAAAGCGCACGUAGGCGGCUUGUUAAGUCAGGGGUGAAAUCCUGGAGCUCAACUCCAGAACUGCCUUUGAUACUGGCGAGCUUUGAGUUCGGGAGAGGUGAGUGGAACUGCGAGUGUAGAGGUGAAAUUCGUAGAUAUUCGGAGGAACACCAGAAGCGAAGGCGGCUCACUGGCCCGAGACUGACGCUGAGGCACGAAAGCGUGGGGAGCAAACAGG